rnacentral:rRNA from 1 species
CUACGGACGCAGCAGUGGGGAAUAUUGCACAAUGGAGGAAACUCUGAUGCAGCAACGCCGCGUGGAGGAUGACACUUUUCGGAGCGUAAACUCCUUUUAUAUAGGAAGAAGAUGACGGUACUAUAUGAAUAAGCGCCGGCUAACUCCGUGCCAGCAGCCGCGGUAAUACGGAGGGCGCAAGCGUUACUCGGAAUCACUGGGCGUAAAGAGCGUGUAGGCGGAUUAAAAAGUCAGAAGUGAAAUCCUAUAGCUUAACUAUAGAACUGCUUCUGAGACUCUUAAUCUAGAAUAUGGGAGAGGUAGAUGGAAUUUCUGGUGUAGGGGUAAAAUCCGUAGAGAUCAGAAGGAAUACCGAUUGCGAAGGCGAUCUACUAGAACAUUAUUGACGCUGAGACGCGAAAGCGUGGGGAGCAAACAGGAUUAGAUACCCUCGUAGUC